rnacentral:tRNA from 1 species
GGUUUGUGGCUCAGUGGUAGAGUGCUUGGCUAGCAUGUGUGAGGCACUGGGUUCAAUCCUCAGCACCA